rnacentral:rRNA from 1 species
GACGAACGCUGGCGGCGUGCUUAACACAUGCAAGUCGAACGGAAAGGCCCUGCUUUUGUGGGGUGCUCGAGUGGCGCACGGGUGUGUAACACGUGUGUCACCUGCUCUUGACUUUGGGAUCACUUCAGGACACUGGGGCUUAUCCCGGAUAGGAGCUUCUGCCGCAUGGUGGGGGGUGGAAUUUUUCGGCGGUUGGGGGUGGACUCGCGGCUUCUCCGCUUGUUGGUGGGGUUGUGGCUUACCAAGGCUUUGACGGGUCGCGGGCCUGAGGGGGUGACCGGCCACAUUGGAACGGAGAUACGGCCCAGACUCCUACGGGAGGAAGCAGUGGGGAAUAUUGCACAAUGGGCGGAAGCCUGAGGCAGCAACGCCGCGUGCGGGAUGACGGCCUUCGGGUUGUAAACCGCUUUCGCCUGUGACGAAGCGUGAGUGACGGUAAUGGGUAAAGAAGCACCGGCUAACUACGUG